ACUCAAAUGAAUUGACGGGGGCCCGCACAAGCAGUGGAGCAUGUGGUUUAAUUCGACGGUACGCGAAGAACCUUACCGAGGCUUGACAUCCCGGGAACUCUGCCGAAAGGCGGAGGUGCCUUCGGGAACCCGGUGACAGGUGUUGCAUGGCCGUCGUCAGCUCGUGCCGUGAGGUGUUCGGUUAAGUCCGGUAACGAGCGCAACCCUUGUCGUUUGUUGUAUUUUUCAAACGAGACCGCCCAGGAAACUGGGAGGAAGGUGGGGAUGACGUCAGGUCAGCAUGGCCCUUAUGCCUCGGGCUACACACGUGCUACAAUGGCCGGUACAACGGGUUUGCCAAGCCGCGAGGCGGAGCUAAUCCCAUCAAAACCGGUCUCAGUUCGGAUUGAAGGCUGCAACUCGCCUUCAUGAAGCUGGAAUUGCUAGUAACCGUGGGUCAGCACACCACGGUGAAUACGUUCUCGGGCCUUGUACACACCGCCCGU
rnacentral:rRNA from 1 species